rnacentral:rRNA from 1 species
AGUGAACGCUGGCGGUAGGCCUAACACAUGCAAGUCGAACGGCAGCACAGGAGAGCUUGCUCUCUGGGUGGCGAGUGGCGGACGGGUGAGGAAUACAUCGGAAUCUACUCUGUCGUGGGGGAUAACGUAGGGAAACUUACGCUAAUACCGCAUACGACCUACGGGUGAAAGCAGGGGACCUUCGGGCCUGGCGCGAUUGAAUGAGCCGAUGUCGGAUUAGCUAGUUGGCGGGGUAAAGGCCAACCAAGGCGACGAUCCGUAGCUGGUCUGAGAGGAUGAUCAGCCAAACUGGAACUGAGACACGGUCCAGACUCCUACGGGAGGCAGCAGUGGGGAAUAUUGGACAAUGGGCGCAAGCCUGAUCCAGCCAUACCGCGUGGGUGAAGAAGGCCUUCGGGUUGUAAAGCCCUUUUGUUGGGAAAGAAAUCCAGCUGGCUAAUACCCGGUUGGGAUGACGGUACCCAAAGAAUAAGCACCGGCUAACUUCGUGCCAGCCGCCGCCGUAA